rnacentral:rRNA from 1 species
ACGGGAGGCAGCAGUGGGGAGUAUUGCACAAUGGGGGAAACCCUGAUGCAGCGACGCCGCGUGAGUGAAGAAGUAUUUCGGUAUGUAAAGCUCUAUCAGCAAGAAAGAAAAUGACGGUACUUGACCAAGAAGCCCCGGCUAACUACGUGCCAGCAGCCGCGGUAAUACGUAGGGGGCAAGCGUUAUCCGGACUUACUGGGUGUAAAGGGAGCGUAGACGGUAUUGCAAGUCUGAAGUGAAAGGCGGGGGCUCAACCCCUGGACUGCUUUGGAAACUGUAGUACUAGAGUGCAGGAGAGGUAAGUGGAAUUCCUAGUGUAGCGGUGAAAUGCGUAGAUAUUAGGAGGAACACCAGUGGCGAAGGCGGCUUACUGGACUGUAACUGACGUUGAGGCUCGAAAGCGUGGGGAGCAAACAGGAUUAGAUACCCUGGUA